rnacentral:rRNA from 1 species
UACAGAGGUCCCGAGCGUUGUUCGGAUUCACUGGGCGUAAAGGGUGCGUAGGGGGUGAGGUAAGUCGGAUGUGAAAUCUCCGGGCUCAACCCGGAAAUGGCAUUGGAAACUACCUUGCUGGAGGAUUUGAGGGGGGAUUGGAAUACUUGGUGUAGCAGUGGAAUGCGCAGAUAUCAGGAGGAACACCAAUAGCGAAGGCAGCUCGCUGGGACGGUACUGACGCUGAGGCGCGAAAGCGUGGGGAGCAAACAGG